CCUACGGGUGACAGCAGUGAGGAAUUUUGGUCAAUGGGCGCGAGCCUGAACCAGCCAAGUAGCGUGAAGGAUGACUGCCCUACGGGUUGUAAACCUCUUUUAUAAAGGAAUAAAGUGAGGCACGUGUGCCUUUUUGUAUGUACUUUAUGAAUAAGGCUCGGCUAACUCCCUGCCAGCAGCCGCGGUAAUACGGAGGAUCCGAGCGUUAUCCGGAUUUAUUGGGGUUAAAGGGAGCGUAGUUGGGUUGUUAAGUCAGUUGUGAAAGUUUGCGGGUCAACCGUAAAAUUGCAGUUGAUACUGGCAGUCUUGAGUACGUGUGAGGUAGGCGGAAUUCGUGGUGUAGCGGUGAAAUGCUUAGAUAUCACGAAGAACUCCGAUUGCGAAGGCAGAUUACUAAACUGCCACUGACAUUGAUGCUCGAAAGUGUGGGUAUCAAACAGGAUUAGAUACCCGAGUAGUC
rnacentral:rRNA from 1 species